CAAAAUUUCUUUUCAUUGGAAUUAUAAUUUCAAAAAUUUCAUUAUUUCAAUAGCAAGAUACGCGAGAAGAAAUCGAAAACAUUGAAUGCUUGGCAAUUUGGAAGAAGGUUU